rnacentral:rRNA from 1 species
GCAAUGGACGAAAGUCUGACCGAGCAACGCCGCGUGAGUGAAGAAGGUUUUCGGAUCGUAAAACUCUGUUGUUAGAGAAGAACAAGGAUGAGAGUAACUGUUCAUCCCUUGACGGUAUCUAACCAGAAAGCCACGGCUAACUACGUGCCAGCAGCCGCGGUAAUACGUAUGUGGCAAGCGUUGUCCGGAUUUAUUGGGCGUAAAGCGAGCGCAGGCGGUUUCUUAAGUCUGAUGUGAAAGCCCCCGGCUCAACCGGGGAGGGUCAUUGGAAACUGGGAGACUUGAGUGCAGAAGAGGAGAGUGGAAUUCCAUGUGUAGCGAUGAAAUGCGUAGAUAUAUGGAGGAACACCAGUGGCGAAUGCGGCUCUCUGGUCUGUAACUGACGCUGAGGCUCGAAAGCGUGGGGAGCAAACACGAUUAGAUACCCUGGUAGUCCACGCCGUAGACGAUGAGUGCUAAGUGUUGGAGGGUUUCCGCCCUUCAGUGCUGCAGCUGACGCAUUAAGCACUCCGCCUGGGGCAGUACGACCUGCAAGGUUGCAACUCAAAGCGAAUUGACGAGGGGCCCUGCACUACGCGUUGGAGCAUGUGGAUUUAAUUUCGACAGCAAGCGCAUGAGAAGCCUUUACCAGGUCAUGACAUCCUUUUGAUCA